rnacentral:rRNA from 1 species
CCACGCUGUAAACGAUGAUAACUCGUUGCUAGCGAUACACUGUCAGUGACUAAGCGAAAGUGUUAAGUUAUCCACCUGGGGAGUACGAUCGCAAGGUUGAAACUCAAAGGAAUUGACGAGGGCCCGCACAAGCGGUGGAGCAUGUGGUUUAAUUCGAUGAUACGCGAGGAACCUUACCAGGGCUUAAAUGUAGGACGACAGUUUGGGAAACCAUUCUUUCUUCGGACGGCCUACAAGGUGCUGCAUGGUUGUCGUCAGCUCGUGCCGUGAGGUGUCGGGUUAAGUCCCAUAACGAGCGCAACCCCUAUUUCUAGUUGCCAGCGAGUAAUGUCGGGGACUCUAGAGAAACUGCCGGUGCAAACCGUGAGGAAGGUGGGGAUGACGUCAAAUCAUCACGGCCCUUACGUCCUGGGCACACACGUGCUACAAUGGUAAGUACAGAGGGACGCCAUGUGGUGACACAGAGCAAAUCCUAAAAGCUUAUCUCAGUUCGGAUUGGAGUCUGCAACUCGACUCCAUGAAGCUGGAAUCGCUAGUAAUCGGAUAUCAGCCAUGAUCCGGUGAAUACGUUCCCGGGCCUUGUACACACCGCCCGUCAAGCCAUGGAAGCUGGGGGUGCCUGAAGUCGGAACCGAAAGGA